rnacentral:tRNA from 1 species
GCGGGUUUGGCGGAAUUGGCAGACGCGUAAGAUUCAGGUUCUUAUGACCGCAAGGUUGUGAAGGUUCAAGUCCUUUAACCCGCACCA